GACGAACGCUGGCGGCGUGCUUAACACAUGCAAGUCGAGCGGAAAGGCCCUUUCGGGGGUACUCGAGCGGCGAACGGGUGAGUAACACGUGAGUAAUCUGCCCUUGGCUUUGGGAUAACUACCGGAAACGGUGGCUAAUACCGGAUAUGACCAUGCUCGGCAUCGGGUGUGGUGGAAAGUUUUUUCGGCCAGGGAUGUGCUCGCGGCCUAUCAGCUUGUUGGUGGGGUAAUGGCCUACCAAGGCUUCGACGGGUAGCCGGCCUGAGAGGGUGACCGGCCACACUGGGACUGAGACACGGCCCAGACUCCUACGGGAGGCAGCAGUGGGGAAUAUUGGACAAUGGGCGGAAGCCUGAUCCAGCAACGCCGCGUGAGGGAUGACGGCCUCGGUGUAACGUCUUCUAGUACCGACGAAGCGCCGAC
rnacentral:rRNA from 1 species